AAUACAGAACGCUGCCGAAGACAGUAGGUGCCGUAAGGCAUAAGGAUCAAAACGCCUACCGAGGACUGAGUAUUCUGAUGAGAUUCAGGAACCCUUGCUGUCAUGAUGCGGCAAGGGCUUUUUUUAUGU
rnacentral:sRNA from 1 species